rnacentral:rRNA from 1 species
AUGCCGCUGGCGGCGUGCCUACUACAUGCACGUCGAGCGAACAGACGAGGAGCUUGCUCCUCUGACGUUAGCGGCGGACGGGUGAGUAACACGUGGAUAACCUACCUAUAAGACUGGGAUAACUUCGGGAAACCGGAGCUAAUACCGGAUAAUAUAUUGAACCGCAUGGUUCAAUAGUGAAAGACGGUUUUGCUGUCACUUAUAGAUGGAUCCGCGCCGCAUUAGCUAGUUGGUAAGGUAACGGCUUACCAAGGCAACGAUGCGUAGCCGACCUGAGAGGGUGAUCGGCCACACUGGAACUGAGACACGGUCCAGACUCCUACGGGAGGCAGCAGUAGGGAAUCUUCCGCAAUGGGCGAAAGCUUGACGGAGCAACGCCGCGUGAGUGAUGAAGGUCUUCGGAUCGUAAAACUCUGUUAUUAGGGAAGAACAAAUGUGUAAGUAACUAUGCACGUCUUGACGGUACCUAAUCAGAAAGCCACGGCUAACUACGUG